rnacentral:rRNA from 1 species
UACGGAGGGGGCAAGCGUUGUUCGGAGUCAUUGGGCGUAAAGGGUGCGUAGGCGGCGCGGUAAGUCGGGUGUGAAAUCUCGGAGCUUAACUCCGAAACUGCAUUCGAUACUGCCGUGCUUGAGGACUGGAGAGGAGACUGGAAUUUACGGUGUAGCGGUGAAAUGCGUAGAUAUCGUAAGGAAGACCAGUGGCGAAGGCGGGUCUCUGGACAGUUCCUGACGCUGAGGCACGAAGGUCAGGGGAGCAAACGGG